UAUUGUACCUUCACCAGAGGUUCAGGGGUGGUGAUAAGGAUGCCAACAAAACACAUAAUACAUUUAAUCUCCUUUCGAACAUGAAAGUCAGUUGCAACUAUUAGAGGAUCUGUUGAAGUUAGAUGGACUGUUUUCUCAUAAUUCACUGACAUCCGAGACCUUUUUGCAAUAGUUUUCAAAGAGCCCAGUGGUAUAUUAAGUACAAUUGAAAUAAGGAUAACUGAGUUAGUUCAAAUACUGACCCAGCUUGAUGGUACUACACAUUUACAAACAAAACAUUUGAACUCCAAUCCAAAUUGUAUCCAUCAAUUUAGCAUGGUUUAAUGCACAUCUAUCUAUGUUCACCUUCGAGUAAGAAAUUGUAAAGAUGUCAAACAGUGAAACUAACUACACUUUUAUCCUACGAAUGACUGAGAACAUGCCAGUUGAGGACUCCUUUGUAUCAUUACUAUGUAAUAAUCUAUGUCGUGUUUAAACAUAUGCAUAGUCGUUUCAACCUAUAUUAAUCACCUGCCAGUUUACUGAAUGGGCCAUAAACACUAUUAUAAAGAAAAAACACUCCUGGAUACACUUACGCGGUUAGAUAAUUAUCGUAAGCCUUUACUGCCUAUGGUAUGCUUGACCUUAUGAUAGCGUUUCAAGGUGGAUUCAAGCGCAUUUGAAUGGAUGGAACAAGCACUUCUAUCGAUGGCCAAACACACAAGCCCAACAUCAUUUUACAUGAAUGGUAUUCUUCAGCAGUAGAAUAUCGAAGCCUGGUGAAGCUGUUACAACACAGAAAGAAAACCAAUACAACCACAUAUGUCCUUCACCUCACCAUCAAUCAAUCAAUCAAACUCCCAUCAAUCUGCAGCCCCAAAGACACCACAACACCAGAGUUGGCCAUUUCCAAAUCCUCUGGUGAGUUCCGUUGGUAUCAUUGUAGUAACACAAUUUAUAAAUGUGUGUGGAGAAUUUCGAAAAUUGUAUUUGAUUUUCUAGUUGCUAACUAGAAAUGAACUGGAACUGAUUAAUUAAUGUCGUACAAUAAUUGCGUACUCAGAUUUCCGAAUGAGUAGACCAAUCUGUAAAUGCAUACUCAGAUUUGUCAUCCUUUUAUAAUUUUAGGUUUUGUUUACUCUCACCCCUAUGAGGAGAUGAAUGCCAAACUGAAUGCUUCAAAACGGCAGUCCACAAACCAAUUGGCAACUCCACAGGGACUACUACCCCAUUCUUAUGUUAUACAGUUUAUGGUUGCAUGCAGAAGAGCAAAAUAUGCUGAAGAACCGUCACUCUGAGGCUGUUUUUUUGGCAUCUGCUCCAAAAAUGGCACACCCAUAAUAAAAAGUGUAAUAACUUUAAACCGGAGAGAACCCAUGCAGACUCCACACAAAAAGGCCAAUGGGUGGAGUUGAGCCCUGGACCUUCUUGCUUCUAGCUGACGGCCACACAACAGUUCUUCUCUAGUUGGUCUACAUUUUCCCAAAAAUAUUCAGGGGCAGGAGGAAACAUAUUUGACGUGCCUCAUUAAUAUGAAGUGUCACAAACUCUGUCUUUAAGAGAUUACAAACUAUAUCUUCAUGGCCAUUUAAAUUUGUAACUGAUUUGACGUGGCACACGAGUAAGGCAAAGGUAUUUGCUGCCACGCGUCACCUACAAAAGCCAUUCGCUCUCUGUAAAGUCCAAAGUUGUUGCAGAAAUAUGUGAAGGGGGUGUUUCGACUUUGCUCACUGUAGUCCAGUUAACCUUUAAAACUGGCAGGUUCUUAGCUUGUAGGGUGACUUUCAGGUGUCACUGCUGAUCACCCCAUCAUUGAAUAUGGAUUGUUCCGCCUGGUUACGCUCCCACCCCUCGUGGUGUCGCGCCUUCAACAAUAAUGUCCUGGUGGUAGAAACACGCAGCUGGUCUACGGUGGGGCGAGAGGAUUGGCCACUUCUCCUACCUAUUGUCUCUUUACCCUUUAAUAACUUGGAUCGAGUUCACGAAGAACUAGAGAGAGUCAGAGGGCCGCAUCAGGCCCAGAGAAUAACCACUGUCCUGCCAAAGGAAAAUAUUUUCAUCUGCCUGCCUCUCUAUGUACCAGCCACCAAGAAAGACAGCUUGGAGAAUGAGGGAUGAUAAACGCCCCAUUAGACAGGUAAUUGCCAGAGUUUUCUUUAAAUCUUAAUUACAUUACAAGUCAACAGUGAUGCCAUUUUGUGAUAAAGAGAUAGAUGUUUGAUUAAACACAAUUUUUUUCUAUUUUCUCUUAAAAAAAUACUUAAUAUGCAUGUAUGAAUAAGCAGAGUGAAAUCCGGCACUGGCGUAAUGAGCCGUAAGUCUCCCGUAUAGAAGAGCCUUUCCCAGAACAUAAGCACUCCAGACCUUGCAGCAUUGUUUACAACUACUCACCCUCAAGUACAUUUUUUUAAUAAACAGUUUUAUGCAAGAAAAAUAACAUUAUAUCGGAAGUCUUAAAUAAGUCUUGAAACCGGAGGAAUGCAAGAAUCUCAUUGAGUUCAGAGUUGAUUUUACAAAACAGAGGCCAGUAGUUCAUGUUUCAGCACCCAAAUUUUCACUCAUUUCCUGGAAUUAGUGUCGACCACAAUUGAGGGAAAGCCAUCGCGUGGAAAACGGAAUGCUGUGAACGUGUGAAGGCCUUAUUGUGAUGUGCACCCUUUGCUAAUGUGGGCACACCAAGUGAUGAAGGUGUAAUGCGGUGAAGCGCCUCUGCAUUUUGACAGCUUCCCCUACGAUGGUCAUGACAGUAAGUGAUGUGAGUCAAUCUAGCGUGAUUCUGUUUCCUGGACUCUACGUGAAUGAGCUUCCUGAUUGACCCCAUGCUACAACAGAAAUCUUUGCGGUUGUGCCAUUGAAGUUAAUGGCAAAAUGAAUUGCAAUUGAUUGACCUAAUGAAAAGAUUAAACAAUGACACACCACAUUGUUUUCAAAUUUUCAUGAUGGAACAUGGAGAAAAAAAAAAAAUUCCUUCCACUUCUCAGGCUAGAAGGUAGACCCAAAGGAAAUUCGUCUUGUCCACUUUGUAUAUUCUUCCUGUCAUUUACCUAACCCUGAUGUUCACACUCCAAUGGCGAGACUUGAGGGAUAAGGAGAUGGGUGAUGAGAGGAUGAAAGACAAGGAGAGACCGGAGUUGUGAUGGCUGUCUGUGGACGGUCCCAAGAGAGUGUGGGUUGUCGGUGGUGGUGUGGGGGGGAAAGAGGGGAGCUUGGUAGGACCGGGCCGGCCAAAAGUGAAAGCUUGCCUGACAAGCCGCAUCGGAGCCACUGACGCAUCUCUGAGUCUGAGCGCUGACUGAAGUGGACACUGCAGGACGCAACGCGGCAAGAAUCUCAAACACAGUCACCCGGGCAAGGCCACUUGAAUGACAUUAACUAUGUGUUGUCCAAAGUGUCAUGAAUAGACUCAAAGAUAAAAUCGAACUCUGUAAAACAUACACAAAAGAAAUCACGUAACGAUGAUAAUUAUAUCGCAGUUGCUUCCUUGAAAAUGUUU
ensembl:lncRNA